rnacentral:rRNA from 1 species
GUCUCCGGCCGCGCCACCCUGAACAAGCCUGAUCCCCUCGGAUCUCGGAAGCUCAGCAGGGUCCGGUCUGGUGAGUAUUUGGAUGGGAGGCCACCUAGGAAGACCAGGCGCUGUAGGUG